rnacentral:tRNA from 1 species
GGUGUCAGUAAUUCAAGGGCAGAAUACCCGAAUGUGAAUCGGGAUAUGAGGGUUCGAGUCCCCCUGACACCC